UACAGAGGGGGCAAGCGUUGUUCGGAUUUACUGGGCGUAAAGGGCGCGUAGGCGGCAUGGCAAGUCACUUGUGAAAUCUCCGGGCUUAACUCGGAACGGCCAAGUGAAACUGUCAAGCUAGAGUGUGGAAGGGGCAAUCGGAAUUCUUGGUGUAGCGGUGAAAUGCGUAGAUAUCAAGAGGAACACCUGAGGUGAAGACGGGUUGCUGGGCCAACACUGACGCUGAUGCGCGAAAGCCAGGGGAGCAAACGGG
rnacentral:rRNA from 1 species